GUGAAAAAUAAUGUCGCUGAAGAUGGUGGCUGUAACAAUAGCAGGAGGAUGCUGCAUGCCAUGCACGUUCAGAGGAAACAACAGUUCAGAAAUUGACAACGGAGGGUAGGAGAGAGGUAUCGGAGUAUUGACGACCAGCAAGCAAAGCAAGAGGAAAACCAAGGGGGCAGCGCCAUUCGUGCGCCACGACCACCUAGCGGGGUGGAGCUAGAUCUAGGAAAGCAUUGUCACGAGUGAUCGAGGAACUGGGCUGUAUCACCGGGGGGUUUUCCGGAUCUGCAACUUAGCUUGGGAGAUGCCUGCCGGUACUAUCUCAAUCCCGAAGAAUCCUCCGAUGAGAAGGCAUUUUGGGUGAAUUCCACGAGGUGCCAUGUUCUUUGUUUCUUGGUCAUCGGCUGGGGCAACUGGCCGAGAUUCAGUGGGCAUCCAAGUCGGCAUUGGAGGUUGUAGGCACCGCACUUUGGCCACACUUGCCUAUACCGACUAUCGAGUCCAAUUUAUGUGAUUAUUUUGUUAGUGUUUUUGUGCCUACUUGGUAGUCUUUGUGGAAUUUCAUCGCGUUCGCGCAGUUCUUUUUGUCGUUUUUCCUCAGGUAAUGCCUUUUGGAUCAAAUAAUACUUUAUGGAAGAAAUCCCUUGAAGUGCAGUGAAAUUUAAUGUGAUAAUCAUCUACCAUAAAAGGAGGGAGCAAGAGGAGCAAAGGAGGAGGCGCCAUGUUGCCCCUACAAUGCAAAAGACGAUGUUCCAUGCGACCGGGACCGCUCGUAUGAAUAGUCCUAUGGAGUGCCAACGUCGUUGCCUCGUCCGUUAUUUUUCACCCUGUGGAAUUGGGUCAGAGAUCAUACACAAAGUGGGAUCAAAAACUCGGUCCGGAAGGAGGAACCCUAGCCUCCGGAGCAAUCCGGAGGAAGGAACCGAGAAGGAGGAGGCCGACGCCUCUUCCACCAUCACUGGGACGGCUUCAACAUCAUCACCAUUGCCAUCAUCAUGAUCCACAUCCUUUUCAUUUUAACUCAUCAAGAGCCCCAGUGGAUCGUCUCGUGUGUUACAUAUGUAAUCCCUCCAUGAUUCCUACUUCCAUGUGUAUGAUGAUGGUUGCCCCCAUGUGUGAGUAGUCCCUUUAGUUCUCGAGGAUAUGGA